UACGUAGGUGGCAAGCGUUGUCCGGAAUCACUGGGCGUAAAGGGUGCGUAGGCGGGUUUUUAAGUCAGAGGUGAAAUCCUGGAGCUCAACUCCAGAACUGCCUUUGAUACUGAGAAUCUUGAGUUCGGGAGAGGUGAGUGGAACUGCGAGUGUAGAGGUGAAAUUCGUAGAUAUUCGCAAGAACACCAGUGGCGAAGGCGGCUCACUGGCCCGAUACUGACGCUGAGGCACGAAAGCGUGGGGAGCAACAGGG
rnacentral:rRNA from 1 species